rnacentral:rRNA from 1 species
CCUACGGGUGGCAGCAGUGAGGAAUAUUGGUCAAUGGCCGGAAGGCUGAACCAGCCAAGCCGCGUGAAGGACGAAGGUGCCAAGCAUUGUAAACUUCUUUUGUCAAGGGACAAAAUCAGGCUCGAGAGCCUGACCGAGGGUACUUGAAUAAAAAGCAUCGGCUAACUCCGUGCCAGCAGCCGCGGUAUUACGGAGGAUGCGAGCGUUAUCCGGAUUUAUGGGGUUUAAGGGGUGCGUAGGCGGACUGUUAAGUCAGCGGUAAAAGCCCGGGGCUCAACCCCGGCGAGCCGUUGAAACUGGCUGUCUGGGGAUGUCGAGUGGUAUGCGGAAUGCGCAGUGGAGCGGUGAAAUGCUUAGAUAUUGCGCAGAACUCCGAUUGCGAAGGCAGCAUACCGGCGGCGAUCUGACGCUGAGGCACGAAAGCGUGGGUAUCGAACAGGAUUAGAUACCCUUGUAGUC